rnacentral:lncRNA from 1 species
CCUCAUGAUUUUCAGGUUCUAUGAACAACAAAACCUCAAUUAUCAUGGCAUAGCUAGACUAUUAAAAUGAUAUCAAGCUGAUACACCUACAGAUAGUAACAUAACCAAAAUAAUUCCUAUAUUUAGCUAAUAAUGGAUUUCUAAAGUUAAUCUAAACUAAAGCUAAAAUUACUAAAUAAGAUAUAAGCAUAUCAUGAGUUCAGCAAUCCAUAUUUACAGUCCCUUGAAUGUUCAACCAACUAACAGUCUACAAAUUUCUAAUGAAAAUGAAAGAACAACUUGAAUUCAUAGAAAUACUAUUACUAUGCUAAGAUGAACAAGCUAGGCUAAACACUUUUACACUACAUUCUGAAUUCAAAAAUUCUAAACAAAUAAUUGACAUUGAGGAUUUAAGGUAAACAGCUGCUCAUUCAUGUGACUUCAAGAAAUUACAGCAUUCUUAUUUUUGCAUCUCAUCUCCUAGAUAAUCAAGAAAUACCUGGAAUUUAAAAGCAACACAGAAAAAUGAAGAAUCAGCAGUAGAUCAGUAGCAUGAAUAGGGAUCAGCAACAAAAUCAACUCAGGAAAUGAUCCAGGAAGACCACUUUGAGCUAGUUUUAAGUUCACAACAGUAUCGUAUAAAGCUCAGAAUCAGAACAUCACCAAAACCUGAACCCAAGCAUAUGAAUACCAACUAAAAUCAAGUCAUUUUAACCCUUGAAUAAUCAGAAAUCAUUUGGAAAUGAAAACCCCAGGAGAAUCUUUAAUGGAACAGUAUUUUUGCAAAGUAUACAGCUAUUUUUGGAUGUUUUUUUUAUUUUUAUCUCUCGAAAUUCUGUGUUUUUAGCUCUCAUCCUUCUCCUUCUCCAAAUCUGAUCUCUCUCUC